CUAGUGUGCCUUUCAUGUCUCCUCGUGU
rnacentral:piRNA from 1 species